CCGGGUGGGGCGGGCGCUCCGGAGCUUGGGGCGCCCUUGCAGCGGGAGGGUCCGCGCUCUGAGCGCAUCCAGGCAGGGAGGCCUCAGGUGGGCGGGGUGCCCUGAAGACCCCCGCCCGGCCCUGCCCACGGCGACCUGGCGGUUCAGAGCGUCCGCGGCGCGCACAACGCGUCCUUAGCUGGAGUUGUUCCGUCCCCGCUGCCGACCCCCGGGAAGUUCCCUUGGAAGUCUCAAGCCCUGACCCUCCGCUUCUGCUUCUACUUGAUGGGCCGGUCCGGCCGCCGCUCUGACUGUAGCCCUGUGCCCAACCUCCCACCCACAGCGCUGGUUCACGCGGCCUGUACCAGCGGCAGGGGUGGCAUGGGCGCGGUGGCAGCGAAUGCUAUGGCAACGGUUUGGUGCUGCCCCCAUUCCACCGUGAGACGGCGGAGGCCGGCGGGCGGGUGGCGGGUUAGGCCGGCCCACGCGCGUCCUCCGUCCUGCAGGCCCCGGGCCAUGGCUGCCUCUCCGGCUGACGCGUCCCGCAGGAGGCGGGAGAACCGGCGGCAGCUGGACGCGCGCCGCAGCAAGUGUCGCAUCCGCCUGGGCGGCCACAUGGAGCAGUGGUGCCUCCUCAAGGAACGGCUGGGCUUCUCCCUGCACUCGCAGCUGGCGAAGUUCCUGUUGGACCGGUACACGUCUUCAGGCUGUGUGCUGUGUGCAGGUCCCAAGCCUUUGCCCCCCAAGGGUCUGCAGCAUCUUGUUGUCCUGUCUCAUGCCCACAGCCGGGAGUGCAGUCUGGUGCCUGGGCUGCGUGGGCCUGGGGGCCGAGAUGGGGGGCUUGUGUGGGAGUGCUCCGCAGGCCACACCUUCUCCUGGGGCCCUUCUUCAGGCCCUACACCUCCAGAGGAGGCCAAGAUGGCCCCUCUUCCAAGUACCUCUGAGCAAAGCUGGUGCCAGCAGGCCAGGGGUGGGCAGGAGCCUGCAGAGGCCUCCCAGAAUUCAUACCACAGACUCCACCUGUCCUCAUCCCUCCAGACCAGAGUUUCUGCCCCUUUGACCCCACCUGUGCUAAUAGGUUUGGAAUGUGAGCAUGAGGCGAGGACUCGGGAGGCCAGGUCGCCCAGCGGGGUGAGACCCCCACCGGAGUCCUUCCUGCCCCUAAGAGAAGAGGAGGGAGAGGAAGAAGAUGGGAAUGAAGAGGAAGUGCUCAGCGAUGUCAGCCCAUGGACCUACAGCUCUUCCCCAGAUGGUAGUGAGCCAGAUGUCCCCAGACCACCCCCUUCCCCUGUCACCCACACACUUAAGGAGGGAGAGACACCCCCAGCCCCUGCAGCUGUCCCCACAUCUCUGCCUGUGGAAGGUGGGGCACAGCUGGUGAUCAAUGGGAUCCCUCCAGCGUCCCAGCAAACUGAGGCCUUGGCCAGCCCUGGGAGUCAGGCCCCGUCUGCUGUACCUUUGGCCCUGGAGGAGGACAGUGAGCACAUUGGCCCCAAGAGAAUUAGGAGAGCCGCCAGACGGGAGCUGCUGCCCUGCGACUUCCCCGGCUGUGGCAGGAUCUUCUCCAACCGCCAGUACUUGAAUAUGGGGAAGCCGAGGUACGUGAGGUUGCCACUGCCCAGGGCUCCUGGGCUCCAGCCUCACUGCAGGACGGGUUGGAGGCACAGAGCGGGCAAGGCCCAGGCCCACACUCAGCCAGGGCCCUCACAGGGCAGGUCCGGAGGCCGAGGAGGGCCCGCACUGGGCUGAUAUAGCAGAAAGACACAUGACACAGCCCUUGAGCUGGUGCUAGAACACAGGCCUUCGGGUGAUGCUGUGCUUGGACAGUCAGGCCCACCACAUGUUCCUGUCCCUGUCACUCAGCACACCCAUGCUUAGGGAGCCGCAAGUGUCACCAGAACUGCACUUUGUUCAAGGGACUGGACGUUGCAAGGGGAGGUUGUGGCAAGGAGGUGAGAUCAUGGAAGUCGAGGGCAGAGUUUGGGGUCAGGAUGGAAUGGGAUCGGGAUGCUUGUGUGUAGGUGAUGUGAGUUGGUGGUGACAGGGAGAAAUGAUGGGGUUGGGAUGGGGCAGAGGAGCCUGUCGACCAGGUCGCUCCAGCAGUCUCCCUGACACCACCCACUUUCCCUAGCACCAUAAAAAGUACCAGCACAUCCACCAAAAGUCCUUCUCCUGCCCAGAGCCAGCCUGUGGAAAGUCCUUCAACUUUAAGAAACACCUGAAGGAACAUGUGAAGCUGCACAGUGACACCCGGGACUACAUCUGUGA